GGGGAUUUAGCUCAGUGGUAGAGCGCUUGCCUAGCAAGCACAAGGCCCUGGGUUUGAUCCUCAGCUCUG
rnacentral:tRNA from 1 species